rnacentral:ncRNA from 1 species
CUCUAAUACAAUUUUCAGAUUAUAUAUUUUAAGGAAUAUAUACAGUAAAAGUAUUAGUAUUAAAGAGAUUUAUUCCUUCCUGAAAUAGGUAAAAAUGUAUCAGUAAAGUAGGUAUUAGUAGAAUGU